GACGGAGGGUGCUAGCGUUGUUCGGAAUCACUGGGCGUAAAGGGCGCGUAGGCGGCCUUGGCAGUCGGCUUUGUGAAAGCCCGGGGCUCAACCCCGGAGGUGCGGCCGAUACACCGAGACUUGAGGCCGGAAGAGGAGGGUGGAAUACCCAGUGUAGAGGUGAAAUUCGUAGAUAUUGGGUGGAACACCGGUGGCGAAAGCGGCUCUCUGGUCCGGACCUGACGCUGAGGCGCGAAAGCGUGGGGAGCAAACAGG
rnacentral:rRNA from 1 species